rnacentral:lncRNA from 1 species
AGAGACUACAUUUUCAUUUUGAGUAAACUUGUUUUUUACAUUGGGUCAAUCAUACAUUACAAUGAUACCUUCAUCACAUAAAUUACAUACAUUUUAAUAAAAUAGAAAAUAUAAAACGAAGGAAAAAGAAAUGAGUUUAUUGUUGAGUAACAGGAAAUCCCUUGCUUCACAGUUGCAGUCUGCUUUCAUCAUCCCAAGCCAUAUUGCAUACCAUCAUCAUCCCAUCAACAUCCUGCAUAGUCAAAUAAAACAUAAUUAAAAGUUGAAAAAAGAAAGGAAAAAAUAAAACACGAGUUUGUUACAAGCUGCAAGCUCCAUC